GGACUAUCUCCAAACUUCUCCAGAACGCGGGACAGGCUCACUUGUGCCUCAAGUCCUCAUGAUCAAACUCCCAACUCCCCUCAGCUGUGGUUGGCUUCACUACUGGAGGAGGAGGCCAUCAACUCCAUGGACUAUGAGUUUAACUUCCAGCUGGAGAUUCGGGCUCCCUAUCUCCUCGCAGGUGUAGAGAGCCCGUCUCAUGCUAUCCGAGCUGAUGCAGACCCUCUGGCCCGCUCUGCCACCAGCGUCGUCAUCACUCUGGCAGACAAGUACACUUAUGACUGUCCUGUCGAAAUCCUCAUCUACCCGAGCG